UCGUAGUCCCCAAACGCCAGAUAUAGU
rnacentral:sRNA from 1 species